UCUGGUCCCCUGUAAGCUGAGAAAAGUCAGCGCGUGCAGGAAGAAAACGGCGGGACUGAUCCGGGCUCCCAGACGGAGGAUAUAAAAGCAAAAGAAAACAAACCGUUGGGCUGCUGUAUGAGGAGAUCUCGGGACACGGAGGGGCUGCAUAGACGGAGUGUGGAGGUGUCCCUUGACGGCUGACGGGAGGAGAGCAUUGUGUACCUACCCACAUAGAUCCCGGCAGAGAGACGGCUGGGGGAGCGGAGGCUGAGGUGGAGAAAGCUACCCGGAGGCGCGGCAUACACAGUGUCAGCGGCGGGCAGGAGAACUCUGACUGGGGAGUGCUGCGGAGAGAGACGGCCCCCGGAGACCCCCUCGGGGAGUUGGCUGGACGUUUUGGAGACCAACCGGAGCAGUCCCACCCGCGUUCAUCUGUCUCAUACGACCACUCCUUUAGGUCCCACCCGAGUUCAUCUGUCUCAUACGACCACUCCUUUAGGU